rnacentral:rRNA from 1 species
UGCUUCCUACGGGGCGCAGCAGUAGGGAAUUUUCGUCAAUGGGCGCAAGCCUGACCCAGCAACGCCGCGUGAAGGAAAAAGGCUCUCGGGUUGUAAACUUCUUUUAUCAGGGACGAAGCAAGUGACGGUACCUGAUGAAUAAGCCACGGCUAACUACGUGCCAGCAGCCGCGGUAAUACGUAGGUGGCAAGCGUUAUCCGGAUUUACUGGGUGUAAAGGGCGUGUAGGCGGGAAAGCAAGUCAGAUGUGAAAACCAUGGGCUCAACCUGUGGCCUGCAUUUGAAACUGUUUUUCUUGAGUACUGG